UUUUAUGGAGAGUUUGAUCCUGGCUCAGGAUGAACGCUGGCGGCGUGCCUAAUACAUGCAAGUCGAGCGAACAGACGAGGAGCUUGCUCCUCUAACGUUAGCGGCGGACGGGUGAGUAACACGUGGAUAACCUACCUAUAAGACUGGGAUAACUUCGGGAAACCGGAGCUAAUACCGGAUAAUAUAUUGAACCGCAUGGUUCAAUAGUGAAAGACGGUUUUGCUGUC
rnacentral:rRNA from 1 species